CAGUAGCCACGGUAAUACGUAGGGUGCGAGCGUUAAUCGGAAUUACUGGGCGUAAAACGUGCGCAGGCGGUUUUGUAAGACAGGCGUGAAAUCCCCGGGCUCAACCUGGGAAUGGCGCUUGUGACUGCAAAGCUAGAGUGCGGCAGAGGGGGAUGGAAUUCCGCGUGUAGCAGUGAAAUGCGUAGAUAUGCGGAGGAACACCGAUGGCGAAGGCAAUCCCCUUGGCCUGCACUGACGCUCAUGCACGAAAGCGUGGGGAGCAAACAGGAUUAGAUACCCCAGUAGUCCCUGUCUCUUAUAC
rnacentral:rRNA from 1 species